rnacentral:rRNA from 1 species
GCUCAGGAUGAACGCUGGCGGCGUGCUUAACACAUGCAAGUCGAACGAUGAUCCGGUGCUUGCACCGGGGAUUAGUGGCGAACGGGUGAGUAACACGUGAGUAACCUGCCCUUAACUCUGGGAUAAGCCUGGGAAACUGGGUCUAAUACCGGAUAUGACUCCUCAUCGCAUGGUGGGGGGUGGAAAGCUUUUGUGGUUUUGGAUGGACUCGCGGCCUAUCAGCUUGUUGGUGAGGUAAUGGCUCACCAAGGCGACGACGGGUAGCCGGCCUGAGAGGGUGACCGGCCACACUGGGACUGAGACACGGCCCAGACUCCUACGGGAGGCAGCAGUGGGGAAUAUUGCACAAUGGGCGGAAGCCUGAUGCAGCGACGCCGCGUGAGGGAUGACGGCCUUCGGGUUGUAAACCUCUUUCAGUAGGGAAGAAGCGAAAGUGACGGUACCUGCAGAAGAAGCGCCGGCUAACUACGUGCCAGCAGCCGCGGUAAUACGUAGGGCGCAAGCGUUAUCCGGAAUUAUUGGGCGUAAAGAGCUCGUAGGCGGUUUGUCGCGUCUGCCGUGAAAGUCCGGGGCUCAACUCCGGAUCUGCGGUGGGUACGGGCAGACUAGAGUGAUGUAGGGGAGACUGGAAUUCCUGGUGUAGCGGUGAAAUGCGCAGAUAUCAGGAGGAACACCGAUGGCGAAGGCAGGUCUCUGGGCAU